CCAGCCGGCCGGCCACCUCUGUGCCACCUGCGGGGACUGGCUGCGCGCCCGGCACGGCUCCGCUCCCACCUACUCGGCCCUGAGCAUCAGCGGCGCCCAGAGCCCAAACCCAGCAGGCGGAAGUUCUACUGACAAAGCUCCAGAUUUGCUGAGGAGACACUCUGCAGAAGAAGAAAUUUCGGAGACGUGUGAAGCAGAGCAGCCCUUGAGCCAUGAAAGCCCUGGUCACAUUUGUCCCGUCUGCGAAGGCUGGCUCCGUGCCCACCUCGACCAGGGCGAAAGCCCCGCCGCGGCGUCCGCGGGGCCCGCAGCAGCUCCCAGCCGGGAGGAGGAGCGGUAAGUUCAGCG